rnacentral:lncRNA from 1 species
CUGCCAGCGUGGAAAACCGGCCACGUGCAGGUCUGGGGCUGGGCACACACAGGGUCACACCCAGGAAGGGAUAAGCUAUGCAUUUCUAUUGAUAGAGUGGGCAGGGACCACAGGAAUUUAGAAAAUAUUAGGGCCAAGUUUACUGGGGAAAAUGUACAGGCCAGCAGAUAGCAUGGAAAAGUCCCCUCCCUGAGGAAGGGAAGCAUCUCAGAGGAGGUAAGAGACUGCUCCCAGGGCUGUGGUUAGAGCCUCCCCAACCGCAGCACGAUGCCCUUUGUCCCAUCUUCAGCAGGAGGGGCUGCUCUCCAUGGAGAUGAGGCUGACAGGGUCAGCGGAGUAGCCUGUGACAGGCAGGUUUUAAUAAGUUCAUUUUCAGCCAACCCCUGAAAUGGGUUAUUUUUGUUCCAUGGGAAUGCUCUACAUCUUCUGAAAGAUGGCACCUGGGACCCAGCCCAUGGCCUUCCUGGGGUAGGAUGUGCUGGAGAAGGAUUCUGUGGACCUGACAGAGAAGACAGAAGCCAGAGAGUAGACACCCGGAAAGAAAGAGGGAAAAGUGUGGUGGGAAGGACAGAGGGGACCCGAAGUUCCCCACGCCAGGGAAAUGACAGGGGGUUGCCAGUCUGUUUCUGAUGGUUGAGCAGUCAGGGGCCCAGAGACGCAGGAAACCCAAAAUCCUUGGUCCACCACGGGGCUGUCCUCAGGGUCUGGAGAGCAGGCCCCAUACUCCAGGCCCCCAUCCUCCAGGCCCUCGUCCCCCAGGCUCCAUCCUCCAGGCCCCCAUUCUCCAGGGCUCCAUCCUCUAGGCCCCUGUCCUCCAGGCCCCCAUCCUCUAGGCCCUCAUCCUCCAGGCUCCAUCCUCCAGGCUCCAUCCUCCAGGUUUCAUCCUUCAGGCCAUCAUCCUCCAGGCCCCCGUCCUCCAGGCCCCCAUCCUCCAGGCCCCAUCCUCCAGGCCCCCAUCUUUCAGGCCCCUGUCCUCCAGGCUCUUGUCCUCCAGGCCCUCAUCCUCCAGGCCCCUGCUCCUCCAGACCCUCAUCCUCCAGACCCUCAUCCUCCAGGCCCCCAUCUUUCAGGCCCCUGUCCUCCAGGCCCUCUUCCUCCAGACCCUCGUCCUCCAGGCCCCUGUUCCUCCAGACCCUCGUCCUCCAGACCCUCAUUCUCCAGGCCCCCGUCCUCCAGGCUCCAUCCUCCAGGGCUCCUCUGGGUCCGGGUCAAGUACCUCCAGGCUCUCUGCUGACUGUUCACCACUGGGCAACCACAGGGACUCGAUCCAUGAAAACUCUGGCAAGGUCAGUUUCCUUGUUCUACAUCCCUGUCACUUUAGUCACCAUCAUGAUAUAAGUGACUGAGUCAUUGUUUUCUCUCAUAUUCCCACCCACCUCUCCUCUCUGCUUCCUCCCCAUCAACUCGACUUCCCACCGCUCACUGCAGCCCCUUCAGGAUUCCUGCUGCGACCACCUGACCCAUGCAAAAGAGACCACUUCUCAGCCUCUCUCACUCUCCUGGCCCUGGCGGAAGCCUGUGUUGUCAUAGGCAUGCUUCCCUGGAAUCCUGCUCAGGCCCCCACGCAGGGACACUGAGUGCCCACAGAGUUGGGAAACCAUUACACGAGAUGGGACGUCUGCAAUAGAGUGGCAUCGCUAGUUGAAAGUGGAGCUGUUCACAACCUCCACAACUGUACUUGGUGGCCACGUCCCCAUCACAUGGGCUCAGACUGGGGGCUGGACAUUGACUUUGAGCCCCAAGUCUUCACCCUCAUGCAAAAACCAUCCUCCUUGGAGAUGCAGGCUGGGAAGGGCGCCAUGUCCGGAGUCCCUGCCCUGCUGUCAUCUGCCGACCUUUGUGCAGCCUGUCCCUUUCGUUAAGAAUUUCAGCACUGAGUUCACUGUGUUCCUUGUCAUGCUAAGACUUGGCCACAUCCCAGCCAUCUUCAACAUGGCGGUCGAUGUUUCAUCAAAAUUCACAGUCGCUCAGAUUUUAUUUUUCCUCAUCUCUAGGAACUUCCAUCUCCACUCCACUUCUGCCACUUCUGCCACCCUCCCAUGACCACACUCAGAACUUGAGCUCCACCUCUGAAAGAGGCAGAAUUGCCUUAUCUCACACAGUGGUGACAGCACUCUGUAAUAAUCUGCAUGGGCCAGGGCUCCUUGGUUGCAGGUAACAGAUACCACUGUUACGGCCCAACUCUGUUCUUCUAUGUUGAAGCCGGAACCCCCAGCGCCUCAGAAUGGGAUCACAUCUGGAGAAGGCGCCUUUAAAGAGAGUGCAAGUUAGGUAAGAAAGAACGGAUGGUGGACAGCCAGGAAACAGUCAGCUACGAGAUGUUGUGUGGAAAGCCCACCUUUCUGACACUGGAGAACUGUGGGAAGAACGGACAGGCCACACACCAGCUGGGCUCUGAGAACCCCCAGCUUCUGCUCCACAGUGAGCCAGCAGGAAUCCAAAGGGCAUGGGCAGACCCCAGGGGCUCCUUCACCCCACCCAGGGGUAGAGAGGGCAAGACGGAGUAGAGCGAGCAGACAGAGAGUGUAAGAUCAGACAUACCAUAGAUGGAAAAGAAAAGCUAAAACUUCCUUGCACAUCUGAGAGACAUUCUGCUACAGGUUUCAUCUCCUACGCCAAUUUCUAUUUGGGAAAGCAAAUAAACGGAAAGCUAACUUGUGUCACUUGGUCGCUGGGGCAUCCGCAGUGAGUAGUUAAGAAAUGCCAGGGGAGUCGGUGUCCAUUUUCAUGCCUGGACAAGAGUGCGUCUUGGACUUGCGUCCUGCUGCACACCCCACCGUCCCGCUGCACACCCCACCGUCCUACUGCACACCCCACUGUCCUACUGUACACCCCACCGUCCUACUGCACACCCCACUGUCCUACUGCACACCCCACUGUCCUACUGUACACCCCACCAUCCCUGCUUUCUGCACUCAGCUGCCCACUUGUAUCCCAGCUCAGGAAGCCCAGAAG